CCUACGGGCGGCAGCAGUGGGGAAUAUUGCACAAUGGGGGAAACCCUGAUGCAGCGACGCCGCGUGAGUGAAGAAGUAAUUCGUUAUGUAAAGCUCUAUCAGCAGGGAAGCAAAGGACGGUACCUGAGUACGAAGCCCCGGCUAACCACGUGCCAGCAGCCGCGGCAAUACGUAGGGGGCAAGCGUUAUCCGGAUUUGCUGGGUGUUAAGGGAGCGUAGACGGCAGUGCAAGUCUGGAGUGAAAGGCGGGGGGUCAACCCCCGGCCUGCUCUGGAAACUGUAAGGCUGGAGUUGAGGAGAGGUAAGUGGAAUUCCUAGUGUAGCGGUGAAAUGCGUAGAUAUUAGGAGGAACACCAGUGGCGAAGGCGGCUUACUGGACUGUAACUGACGUUGAGGCACGAAAGCGUGGGGAGCAAACAGGAUUAGAUACCCCAGUAGUC
rnacentral:rRNA from 1 species